rnacentral:rRNA from 1 species
GACGAACGCUGGCGGCGUGCUUAACACAUGCAAGUCGAACGGAAAGGCCCUGCUUUUGUGGGUUGCUCGAGUGGCGAACGGGUGAGUAACACGUGAGUAACCUGCCCUUGACUUUGGGAUAACUUCAGGAAACUGGGGCUAAUACCGGAUAUGAGCUCCUGCUGCAUGGUGGUGGUUGGAAAGUUUCGGCGGUUGGGGCUGGACUCGCGGCUUAUCAGCUUGUUGGUGGGGUAGUGGCUUACCAAGGCUUUGACGGGUAGCCGGCCUGAGAGGGUGACCGGCCACAUGGGGACUGAGAUACGGCCCAGACUCCUACGGGAGGCAGUAGUGGGGAAUAUUGCACAAUGGGCGGAAGCCUGAUGCAGAAACGCCGCGUGCGGGAUGACGGCCUUCGGGUUGUAAACAGCUUUCGACUGUGACGAAGCGGGAGUGACGGUAAUGGGUAAAGAAGCACCGGCUAACUACGUG